rnacentral:lncRNA from 1 species
UUAUCAAUGGACAGAUCAUGGAAACAAACUAAACAGAAACACAAGGAAACUAACAGAAGUUAUGGACCAACUGGAUUUAACAUAUGUUGUUUUCAUCCUAAAACAAAAGAAAAUACCUUCUUCUCAGCACCUCAUGGUACCUUCUCCAAAACUGACCAUAUAAUCGAUCACAAAACAGGCCUCAACAGAUACAAGAAGAUUGAAAUAAUCCCAUGCAUCCUAUCAGAUCACCACAGACUAAGGCUGGUCUUUAAUUACAGCAAAAACGACAGAAAGCCCACAUACAUAUGGAAGUUGGACAACACUAUACUCAAUGAUAACUUGGUCAAGAAAGAAAU